GAUGAACGCUGGCGGCGUGCCUAAUACAUGCAAGUCGAGCGAACAGACGAGGAGCUUGCUCCUCUGACGUUAGCGGUGGACGGGUGAGUAACACGUGGAUAACCUACCUAUAAGACUGGGAUAACUUCGGGAAACCGGAGCUAAUACCGGAUAACAUGUUUAACCGCAUGGUUCAACAGUUAAAGACGGUCUUGCUGUCACUUAUAGAUGGAUCCGCGCCGCAUUAGCUAGUUGGUAAGGUAACGGCUUACCAAGGAAACGAUGCGUAGCCGACCUGAGAGGGUGGUCGGCCACACUGGAACUGAGACACGGUCCAGACUCCUACGGGAGGCAGCAGUAGGGAAUCUUCCGCAAUGAGCGAAAGCCUGACGGAGCAACGCCGCGUGAGUGAAGAAGGUCUUCGGAUCGUAAAACUCUGUUAUUAGGGAAGAACAAAUGUGUAAGUAACUAUGCACGUCUUGACGGUACCUAAUCAGAAAGCCACGGCUAACUACGUGCCAGCCGCCGCCGUAA
rnacentral:rRNA from 1 species